AGGACUAACGCUGGCGGCGUGCCUAACACAUGCAAGUCGAACGAUCUUGAUUAUAGCAAUAUUAUUAAAGAGGAGUGGCGAACGGGUGAGUAACACGUAGAUAAUCUGCCUUCAGACGGGGACAACUCAGGGAAACUUGUGCUAAUACCCGAUGAGACCACAAGAAGGGAUUUUUGUGGCCAAAGGCGGGCAGCAAUGCUCGUGCUAGAAAGAUGAGUCUGCGUCCUAUCAGCUAGUUGGUGGGGUAAAUGCCUACCAAGGCUAAGACGGGUAGCCGGCCUGAGAGGGUGAACGGCCACACUGGGACUGAGACACGGCCCAGACUCCUACGGGAGGCAGCAGUGAGGAAUUUUCCGCAAUGGGCGCAAGCCUGACGGAGCGACGCCGCGUGAGGGAUGAACCAGCGUUUCGGGUUAGUAAACCUUCUUUUAUUAAAGGAAAAAGAUCUAUAUGCUAAUAUCAUGUAGUAUUUGAUGGUACUUAUUGAAUAACGCCCCGGCUAACUACGUGCCAGCCGCAGC
rnacentral:rRNA from 1 species